rnacentral:rRNA from 1 species
UACGUAGGGCGCAAGCGUUGUCCGGAAUUAUUGGGCGUAAAGAGCUCGUAGGCGGUUUGUCGCGUCUGCUGUGAAAACCUGAGGCUCAACCUCGGGCUUGCAGUGGGUACGGGCAGACUAGAGUGCGGUAGGGGUGACUGGAAUUCCUGGUGUAGCGAUGGAAUGCGCAGAUAUCAGGGGGAACACCGAUGGCGAAGGCAGGUCACUGGGCCGCAACUGACGCUGAGGAGCGAAAGCAUGGGGAGCGAACAGG